rnacentral:rRNA from 1 species
UACGUAGGGCGCAAGCGUUGUCCGGAAUUAUUGGGCGUAAAGAGCUCGUAGGCGGUUUGUCGCGUCUGCCGUGAAAAUUCGAGGCUCAACCCCGGACUUGCAGUGGGUACGGGCAGACUAGAGUGUGGUAGGGGAGACGUGGAAUUCCUGGUGUAGCGGUGAAAUGCGCAGAUAUCAGGAGGAACACCGGUGGCGAAGGCGGUUCUCUGGGCCUUACCUGACGCUGAGGAGCGAAAGCGUGGGGAGCAAACAGG